AAGUCGUAACAAGGUAUCCGUAGGUGAACCUGCGGAUGGAUCAUUAUCGUAUUACCACGUAUCAACCAAACCAGUGAACCUGUAUUUGAGCAUCGGUGGAAGUGAACUGUGACGCCCAUGACCGACUCUUUCUCUUGAACGCAGAAUGGUUGUGGAACGCCUCGAGGUUAGCACCUUCCGUUUUGGUGUUUGAUGAAGCAAUUCGUUGAACAUUGCUUUCGGGGGAAGGACCGAACAGUUCGUCUUUUUCGCCUUGUGUGAAAAAGAACAAACAUGCUAUGAACCGACUCAUCUUAUUUCCCUAAAAGCGACCCCACACCACAAAAGUACGUAAUAAACCGCGACUAAAUCCAUUUUCUUACUCCCGAAAGGGGGAAGAAAAUCGUAGAAAUACGAAACUAAGUAUAACUCUUAGCAACGGAUAUCUCGGUUCUCAUAACGAUGAAGAUCGCAGC
rnacentral:misc_RNA from 1 species